GACAGAUCAGCAUGUUUGGAAACGCUGAUUCAGUGACAACGCACGCAGACCCAAUGGGCAGAAAACAUGUAGCAUUAAAACGAUCGCAAUCACCAUGGCAACACGUACCAGGAACAGGAUGCAGGCCAGAGCCAGCAGAACCACUGUAGACGACAACACCAACAUUAUCUAUGAUUAUAAUCACUCACAAAUACUAUUCACAUGCACAGAGUCAAUUGUACAGCUGGUUGAUUCUGAUUCUCUGAUCCGAUUCUUUAGUUGACUGAAUCUCUGUAGUGUGUGAUGCGUUUCAGGGCCAGCGACUCCUCACCGGAGAAGACGGCGUUGGCGGAGGGGUUGCCAGCCCAGCACUAGCAGCAGCAGAGCACACAGGGAGGCGGUCCCCGCUGUGCCCCGGGCCACGCCCUCCACACCCAGCACCACAGACAGGUUC